AUGGAUGGAAAGGUUUUAAGGCAAAAAAGACACCGAGAAAUGUUUUUCCACACAAGGCUUCUGGUCCCAAUCAUCAUCACUUCUGAUGAUGUCACAUACACAGCGAGUCCACAACGACUUAAAAUUGUUCCUGUAAGGUGCAGUGAACUGGAAUGUUCUGUCGUUGAUCCUCACUUUCAUGUUUUAUCGUCACACUUAAAUUUUCAUGUUCAUGUGUUCACUUUUGAUAUGUAAGCUGAUAAUUUAUUUAAAGUUCAUAAAGUUGGACAAUUUUAAAAUGUUGGUAAUAAAACAAAAUAUUUGA